rnacentral:lncRNA from 1 species
AAGAAGUCAGGCCGGAUUAAGCCAUAGCACGGUAAGAGCUAUGCUGCCUGUGAGCCCCGUCCAAGGACGUAAAAUGAAGUCAGGCCGAAAGCCACGGCUUGAGCAAACCGUGCUGCCUGUGGCUCCAUCGUGGGGAUGUAAAAACCCGGGAGGCUGCAAUCCAUGGAAGCUGUAGCAUGGGGUAGCAGACUAGUGGUUAGUGGAGACCCCUCCCAAAACAUGACGCAGCAGCGGGGCCCAACACCAGGGGAAGCUGUACCCUGGUGGUAAGGACUAGAGGUUAGAGGAGACCCCCCGCACAACAACAAACAGCA